CUGCAGUCGGGCAGUUUGUAUCUACCGCGGGACGGGCUCUUGAGGCCUUGCGAUACCGCGAGGGUGUCCUCGAGGAGGGGAGCCGGGGCCGGGGCUUUUGACCGACCUCUGUGAUCUCCGAGGGCCUCAGAGGACUUCUCCGCAUUUGCCUCAGCGGCUGCCCCAGCUGGAGUUUUCGGAUGCGGGUAGUGGGGUCCAGGUCGUCCCGGUAGCCUCCGGCGACAGUCGUGGGGUCGCAAGAUCUGCGGGAAGGGACUUGGGGAGGAAGCUAAGUGUCACGGAGUUGGCGCAGCUUUCCAUCUCCUUGUAAUCCCGUAUUUGAGAGUUUGCGGGUUCCUGAGGCAGACAGCUGAAGCGCUCUUCCCCUUUCUGUUUGCACUUGUCUUGAAUUAUGUCCUUUGUUUGAAAAAAGAGUCUGUUGUCACUUUAAGACGAAGUUGGAAUUAUGUCCCAGAUGCUAGAGGGUUAAACAUAAAAGCAGGGAGCUUCCCACCAGCCCAAGAGUUAUUUGGACUUUAGACCCAAUUAGUAGCAGGGUCACCCAUGGUGGACCAGUUUCAGCAGAGCUUCCAGACUAAGACACACUAGGAAGAUGGACCUGGCCCGACCUCUUCUGAAAAAAUUGUCCAUGAAAACCCUGUGAAUAGCAGCAGAACAUUGUCUGAUACAACACUGGAAGGAUACACACGGACAGCCGGAUCCACAGGGGAAGGUCUGGAAGGACCAUGAGCGCAGGAACUUCGGUCCCUGUGGAGUUGGGGUGACCACCCUCCCAGCUCGUGGAUGUGUUCACCAAGUCAGAAGCUCUCCAAACCCUGUGCUU
rnacentral:lncRNA from 1 species